ACAACAUAAAUGGCGCAAGAAAAUACAUCAACCAAAAUGACCGUUGAUAAUGGUCAUGGUAUAAUCACUACUAUAGUGUAUAUCACAUGAAACUUUAUGAAGUACUACACAAACAUCCCACCACCUAACAACCCACUAGGAAACACCCUUCCCCGUCUCAACCUAGGAAAGAUGUUCAACUUAUAAAUGAAGUCUUUGCAGUGGAAAACAUCAUUCAUUACCUAAAAUAUCUUUGCUAGAGAAGAUACAGGUUCCAGGAAAUAAGCUUCGUUCUUCACAGAACUCAAUUCAAAGUUUGAAGGAGAAUUGUCAGUAAGUGAUAGUUUUGAUUGAGAUUUGAAAGAUUUGAUUGAUAAUUUGGAUGGAGGCCAUGGAAGGAUGGGUUACUGCAUAUUGAUAACGAUAUAAAAAGGCAAUUAAAUCCACUAACAUAGUCAUUAGGGGUGGGGUUUCUUUUUAUAAUUCACUUUCUUUAUUAGGAACUAUUUUUCUUUUCAUUUUACUUGUAGUAGAUAUCAAAAUAAGGGUUUUAUGAUUUUUAAUGAGGUGAACCAAUUUUAAAAAAAAAAUGUCUCAGGUUAUCAUGAUUUUUGGGAAGAAUUUGCCAACUCUUGGAGGUAGAGAAGAGGUGGAAGUGUUCGUAGUAGGUCCAAACUCAGCUGCAAUCAAUACCAUGCUUUUACAACCCUAUUUGGUGACUCCAAACGCUGGACAGCACAAGUAGGGCUGCCAUGGUGGACGGUUGAGCUUCAACAAGCCCUAGGAAUGGGUAGCAUCCAAGAAGGGUUGUAUCUAUGUUUAAGGGAUGCUGGACCGAACUUAGAGCAUCCAAAGACAUUGGAAAAUCUCAAUAAGCCAUCCCAAAUGGGUGCAAGCUUCUAUACCUGAAGUUAGGGGAGUUAAGAAGAUCUAUCGAAGGAUAAUUUAUCAAUCCAAAUGAUCAAGAAUCCAUGACUCUAAAGGAAGGCUAACAAAGAGACGUUUGGGAUCAAGAAGUUCUCUGCAUAUUUUCGUUCUAUCUUCCCCUCUAAUUAUGGUGUAUCGGAAAUCUACCUACCUUUUUUUUCUUUUUUUAUGCAGGGGUAGUUGUUGAAGCCAAUCUCUGAGAACUGCAUAGGGAUAUUUUCUUGAAACAGUGCCAGACUACAUUUGGAAGAAAUAAAUAAUUGUUGAGUCGUCCAAGGAUGUAUUGGAGCAUACAUUAUGGAUGACAUAUGAAUAUUUGCAUCCGGGUGAAUUACCUAUAAUAUUCAUAUAGUUUUUACUUUUGUAGUCGUUGAUUUAAGUUUCUUUUUUAUCUGUUGUUGCUCCUAAUUCAUUGAUGUACUCUUAUUAGGAUGUAUGUUAAUAAAAUGAAAUCUUAAUUUGCUUUUCAUAGCUUACUUAUAUAUAUAUAUAUAUAUAUAUAUAUUUAUAUCACUUGAACAUAAACUUUCUUUUUGCAAGUAUAAAAUGGGUUUUAUAUCCCUUCAUCAUAUUCCAUGUUGCUGAGGUACAUUCCAGACCCUGGGUAUGACAUCUAGUGGAAGAAGAACUCCAUUGAGCUCCUUUGGGGUGCAGUUCGGGAUUGACAUUAACACGACAGUAGGUUGGAGAUAUCCAAUAAUCCCAACUGCUUGCAAACAAGAUUAGAUGAACCUUCCAUCCAAUUCUUAUGCAGGACUUCAAUUCAGACAAUAGGAAUUCUUUGAAAAGUGAAGUUCUCUUAGUUUUUUUUUUUUUUUUUUUAAAAAGAUUUUAUAAUAAUUUCUUUACUCUCCUAUGAUAUCAUUCAGUUUUAAAAGAAUCUUGAUCUAUUUUAGUCUUGUAAAAGCAUACUUAUUAGUUUCAUUUUAAUACCUUUCAAUGUCACCCACUGUAAAGAUGAUUGAUAAUGAUGAUCAAGCACCUUGAUUGAUUAUUUGCUAUUUUUAUUUACUUCUAUUGUUUUUUAAGAAAGUCAAGAUAAUCUUGAGUAUGCUUAUAGGUUGAAAAAAGUUUUAUAUGAAUUGAAAAAGCACCUAAGGUCUUGUAUGAGAGUAGCACAAACAUAAGAAGAUUGAUUAAGACAUGCUUAUUACUUCAAAUUUAUAUUUAUGACAUUUAUUUGGACAUACUAAUGAAUCAUUAUGCCAUGAGUUAAACAGCAAAGAUUUCUAGAUUAAUAUAAUAGAUGAAGCCAACACCAUCAUUGGCAUUUAAGUGAAGCAAAAAGAAGAUGAAAUCUUCAUUUCUCAAGCCAAGUACAUGAACGAUCUUUAUAGAAGUUUUGACAUGAAGAGAUUCAAAUUUAUAAGUAGCCCAUGAGCCACUCAACUAAAUUGGAUAAAGACGAGAAGGGAGAUCUCAAGACUCAAAGGUCUACAAAGAGAUGAUAGCAUUUCUAUUAAAUCUUAUUGCCAACCAACUCCAUAUCAUGUUUUUUAUUUGCAUGCAAAAUUUCAAGCUGAGUCAAAGGAAUCACACUUGGCAACAAAGAAACGUGUAUUUACAUUUUUAUUUUUUUAUUUUUAUUAUUAUUUUUUUUUAUUUUUAGCGUGUAUUUACAUAUUUGUUAACGACAUCAAGAUUAGAUUUUUUGUAUCCUAAGAACACACUUUCUUAUGGUCUUGUCAGGUUCUCCAAUGCAAACAUUGCCGUAUGUAAGGUAGAUCAAAAGAGGGAACUUGCCAAAUCUUAAGUUGGUCAUGCGUAUUAAUCAAGAAAUAAAAUAGCAUUAUUUAAGUCCACUACAUAGGCUAGGCAUACUGAUGUAGAUGGUUAUGUAGCACAAUAUUAUGAUUAGAGCAACAAUUAGAGGAUUAGUGCCUCAAGCUAGAACACAUUCCCAUUCUGUAACAACUCUAAUGACGUAUAUUUAAUAAAGAAUCCCAUUCAAUGCUCUCAAACAAGAACGUUGGGAUCCAACCUCAUAGCAGCUCACAUUUUUAGUCUUGAUAUUUGUAAGAUCCCGAAUCCAGGUAUGAAAAUUUUAAAUUUAUUUAAUUAUACUUUUAAGAUUUAAUCUGAAGUUUAAUAAUCACCAGUUGUUAAAUUAAGACUAACAGUAAUUAAUAUAAGUAAAAUAUUUAAGUUAAUAAUAGUAAAAUUUUAAGUAAUGAUGUACUGUUAAGUAUUUUACUUUGAUAAGUCAUGAUUCUGUCAUAAUUCUAAAAAGAUGCUUUCUCUAAAAGAUUAAAUAAGAGAGCAGUUCACGGUAGCCAAGUGAUUUGGAAAUGGAUAUUCCCAUUGGAUGAGAAUGAUAGUAAGGGUGUGUGUGGGCCCUCUUUCACAUAAUUCCUCUGUUUGGAAUUCCACAACAGCAAUUGGACAUAAGAUAAGGCAGUUACGGGUGAAUAAGGAAUUGGGAAAUGCUGUGGUGGAGAAGAACAUUUACGGGUGAAUAAAGGAAUUGGGAAAUGCGGUGGUGGAGAAGGAAUUAGCAAUUCUCUGAUGGUUCAUUCGGCACAAUAUUCCUGUAGAGAAGUUCGGUACAUAGAGGAGGAUUUCGGCCAGAUUCCUGUAGCAAGAAGUUUGGCACAGCAACUGGGAAGUUCAGCACAGUGCAGUAGGAAUUCAACAGUGCAGAAAUUAACAGAAACAUUGAAGGAGGAUUAAGAGAGAAAAUUUAAAGGAGGAUUCUUUGGAUCUAUGCAAAGGGGAGGUUACAAGGUAAAGUUGUAAUGUUAGUAUAAAUGAAUUUUAUACAAAGUAUUUGAAUAAUAAAUUCUGGAAACUAGAGAGAAUUGGAAAUAAUUUGUGUAGGUUACUUACAAUAGAAGAAGAGUGUGUGGUAGAGGAAUUGAAGAGACAAAUCUUCAGGGAGUUAAAUAAAUGUAAAGGUUUAAAUAAAAGAAUAUAUGGUAUCUUCGUUAACAUGUACAUCGAUUUUUAUGACAAUUUAAAAAGACAAUGAUUAAAGUAGAUGAUUUUACAUUAUGCAUGUUAAUAAUCAAGUAUUCAUGUAUGAGCAGUCACAUGCAAAUUUGAAUGAAUGAGAUUAAGAAUAAAAUGUACAAUGAGUACUGAAAGAUUUCUCUAGUUGGAAAUAUCUUGGAAUGAAGUAUUAUGUUUAACAUAUGCUUACACAAAUUCUUUAUAUAAUGCAUAUAAACUCUUUCAUGCAACAGAUAGAUGCAUCUAUAUUUAGCAAAAUCAUAUUUGAAUUAUGCUGAAUAUUAAAUUAAUAAAAAUUGCCUGGUUUAUGAUAUGAUUUAUAUAAUAUUAGGUGGGCAAAAGGGACCCAACUAUGAAACAUGCAUUAUAGGAAGGGCAAAAGGUACCCCUAAAGAGGCAAAAUGUACAUCAAUGUAAUUCAAUGGAGAUAAUGUCAGGUUUACCUGGGAUCCAUUCAAUAUAUUUAUAAAAGUAAAACAAUCUUUUAAAAGUCUAAAUUUGAUAUUCAGUAUAAUCUACACUGGAAGAAGAAGAUUAAUGUCACAUUGGAUUGUAUGAGAUUUUAUUGUUAUAAUUUAACUGAUGAUUUAAAUGUUAUAAUUUUAUAAUGCAAUUUAAUUAUUAUUUAAAUGUGCAUAUCUUAUUGAGCCUCAUAGCUCACCAGUAUUUUUCUUGUUGGCUGUUGUUACAGAGGAAAUGGAAAGGAAAAAGUUGAAGAAUACCAAGUUGCAAGUAUUUUGAUUUGUAUGCUAGUUUUUAAAUCUGUGUAUAAGUCUACAUCUAAGCUAUGUUGACAGUUCAAUGAGUUUUAAUUUUGGAUUCAUUAGUGGAUCUGUAAGUUUAUGUUUGAAGUAACUUGGAGUUUAGAUGUUUCCGUGUAUUCAGUAAAUGAUGACUUCUUAGUAUUCUUCAACUUUAAUUGUUAUUUAAAUAUACAUAUCUUAUUGAGCCUCAUAGCUCACCAGUAUCUUUCUUACUAGGUAUUAUUACUGAGGAAAGGGAAAGGAAAAAAGUUGAAGAAUACUAAGUUGCAAAUAUUUUGAUUUGUAUGCUAAUUUUUAAAUCUGUGUAUAGGUCUACAUCUGAGCUAUGUUGACAGUUCAGUGAGUUUUAAUUUUGGAUUCAAGUGAAUGAUCUGUUCUUAGAUUUUUUUUUAUAUAUAGUAAAUAAAAUGUAUGUAAAUGUUUAAAGAUGGGAAAUUGUAUGUUUAUGCAAAUGAUACUUUACAGUACUAUUAGAAGUUCUUAUGCUAGUGUCUUGGGCCCUAAAUUCAUCUAGGGAUUGAGAGAGAAUAAUCCUCCUCUCGAAUUGAGAAUAAAUUGUAUCUU